rnacentral:rRNA from 1 species
CAAAUGAAUUGACGGGGCCCGCACAAGCGGUGGAGCAUGUGGUUUAAUUCGACGCUACGCGAAGAACCUUACCUGGGCUUGAACUGCUGGUGGUAGAAGCCCGAAAGGGUAACGACCCGGAGCAAUCCGGGAGCCAGUAGAGGUGCUGCAUGGCUGUCGUCAGCUCGUGUCGUGAGAUGUUGGGUUAAGUCCCGCAACGAGCGCAACCUUACCCUUAGUUGCCAGCGGGUAAUGCCGGGCACUCUAAGGGGACCGCCCCGGAUAACGGGGAGGAAGGCGGGGAUGACGUCAAGUCAGCAUGGCCCUUAUGUCCAGGGCUACACACGUGCUACAAUGGGCGAUACAGAGGGAAGCAAGGCCGCAAGGUAGAGCUAAUCCCUAAAAGUCGUCCUCAGUUCGGAUUGCAGGCUGCAACUCGCCUGCAUGAAGUCGGAAUCGCUAGUAAUCGCGGAUCAGCUACGCCGCGGUGAACUACGUUCUCGGGCCUU